AUGGCUGUCCUGGUGCUUCUCCUCUGCCUGGUGACAUUACCAAGCUGUUCCCUGUCCCAGAUACAGCUGAAGGAAUCAGGACCUGGCCUGGUGCAGCCAUCACAGAGUCUGUCGCUUACCUGCACUGCCUCUGGAUUCUCAUUAAACAACAAUCAUGUCAACUUGGUAUGCCAACCUUCAGGAAAGGGCCUGGAGUGGAUGGGAGCAAUAUGGAGCGGUGGAGGCACAAAUUAUAAUUCAGCUCUCCAGUCCCAAAUCACCAUCACCAGGGAUACCUCCAAGAGCCAAGUUUUCUUAAAACUGAACAGUCUGCAAACUGAGGACACAGCCAUGUAUUUCUGUGCCAGAAACACUGUGAGAGAACUCCAGUGUGAGCCUGCACAAAAACCUCCAUAUGGAGACACUCAUGACCAGCAGGGGGUGUUGGGGACCAACAGAGUCUCCCAAGAGCAAUAUGUGCUUGCUUAA